rnacentral:lncRNA from 1 species
UCUCUUGCCUCCCUUACAGAGCACAAAAGCAGGAUUGAAGUGUCAACAUUUGUUUUCAAUUAACUUGUGGAAACACACGCAGCGCUAUUGUUAAAGCCAGAGACUUCCUGCUGGAAGCUGCCAUUUCAGAAACUAAUUACUCUGCAAGGCAAAAGGCUGUUGUUGAGGGGGAAAAAAAACCAAACCCAUGUCGUUUUUUGUUUUAAACUCUCCUUUUAGAUAAAGGCAGUGAUAAGAUUUAAAGUUGGGGAGAGAGAGAGAGCUGAAAGAUAUAUCUACUGCAGGAGACCUGCAGACUUACAGCAAGGUUUUGUGUGCCCAGGGUACAGUGGGAUUUCGGCACGUGUGACUCAGUGAUGGGGUCUACAGCAGGAAUGAGGGCAUCCAUGUUCAGAUUUGCCUGAGGCAGAGACCUGAUACAGUGGUCACAGCCUGUGGACCCUCUCCCCUGGGUCUUCCCCUUAUCCAGGCAGGGCCACCGCUGCCUGGCUCAGCAUUCCUGAUCUUGGGACACCAGAAAGGUUCAGGUGGAACUUAACAGGAUGAGCCCAAAAGCCCAGGAAGCCCUGACCUGACUUAACACUUGUCGCUUUCCUCUGCCGUAGGUUUCUUCUGCGUGUUGCUGGCUGCUCAGCACCACGAAGGAGCUGGGGGAGAUGCGGGUCAGCCUCUGAGCGGUGGGGGUUUUGGCCAGCCCCCCCAGCGCCAGGGCAGGAAUGCAUGCGAGGAGGCUGAGGGGCCCGUUUCUCCCCCACCGUGCAAGCCCUGUUUGCCAUGAGAGGGGCUGGGUGUUUCACAACUGCUGCUCAGUGUUUGCUCCCAAAGCAAAGGUCUCAAACUCCUGCGGCCAUCCCAGGAAAUUAAGCAAAGGGCAUUCAAUGUGCCCCCGUAUCAAAGGAAAUCCCACUCUCAGUUAAGUCUCUUGACUGCACUUUGUGGACCUAUGUUCUAAGGCAGAGCCCCCCCCGUUUCUCCUGUCUCCGUCCAGAAAUGAGGAGUUACUUCAGUACGUUGGCUGCAGGCCCGAGGUAGGAUAUUGACUUUGGCUCCCUUUGGAUCUCGUGUGCGCUGAUGGUCAAGCACCCUGAGGAACAUGUACUCUGCCCUGCUGAAGACCAUGGCACCUUCCCUUCCAGCCCAGCAUGCACAGAGAAGACUGUGUGGGGCCAGAUGCAAAGGCUGGCCUGGUACUAUGUGUUGUAGAAAAAGACUGGGUAGUACAAAACUGGUUCUUAAUAAUAAAAAUUCCCAGUAAGGGAGAUCA